rnacentral:misc_RNA from 1 species
AAGCCCUUACACUUUCAAAAGCCUGAAGGUCAAAGGCAAUUUAUCAUUAAGAACAUGAAAUUUACAAUGGCCUCCUCACAAUUUAUUGGUCCACUAUUUUCUACCUCCUUCUAAGCAUGCAAAACCAAAAUGCAAAAUUAGAACAAAAAAUUAAUGCAAGCUGCUCUUAAUUUCGAUGGCAUAAAUCCCACACCUUAUUCAUAGCUUUUUGGCUUU